GUUAAGUCAGAUGUGAAAUCCCCGGGCUCAACCUGGGAACUGCAUCUGAUACUGGCAAGCUUGAGUCUCGUAGAGGGGGGUAGAAUUCCAGGUGUAGCGGUGAAAUGCGUAGAGAUCUGGAGGAAUACCGGUGGCGAAGGCGGCCCCCUGGACGAAGACUGACGCUCAGGUGCGAAAGCGUGGGGAGCAAACAGGAUUAGAUACCCUGGUAGUCCACGCCGUAAACGAUGUCGACUUGGAGGUUGUGCCCUUGAGGCGUGGCUUCCGGAGCUAACGCGUUAAGUCGACCGCCUGGGGAGUACGGCCGCAAGGUUAAAACUCAAAUGAAUUGACGGGGGCCCGCACAAGCGGUGGAGCAUGUGGUUUAAUUCGAUGCAACGCGAAGAACC
rnacentral:rRNA from 1 species